CCUGCCUGCCGAGGGACGGAACGAGGCAGGCUGCGUUGUUGCCUUCUGCGUGUGCGCGGCGAACGUGUUUGCGCCUUCACUCAGCGUCCGGUCCUCCCUGGAAUGCUUGCGCCGGAGACUGUACGCGUUUUGCUGCCACCUGCAUGCCUGCCCAGGAAAACGUGGCGAGCGUUCUCGUCAUCAUCACCACAGGAGCAAACCUGCAGGGAUUGAAGACAUUGCUGUGCUCCCCACCUGAGCGUGGGAAUGCCGCCUGCGGAAACGUUUUAAAGUGCGGCGAUGGCUGGCUUCACGACGAGCUGAAGUGCGGCCAACAGGCGCGGCCAUCAGCGGGCCGGCGAUGGCGCCGGGCAAAC
rnacentral:misc_RNA from 1 species